AAGUCGUAACAAGGUUUCCGUAGGUGAACCUGCGGAAGGAUCAUCAAUAAUCCAAAUGAUCGAUAGUUUUAAAAAAAACUAUUGAUUAAACCUUCUUGUGAACUGUUUAAUGUUUUUGAUUGGGAGUAAAAUUGUGAUGUCUUAGACAGAUCAACUCCCAAUUGAACAUCUAUACAAACUAUUUUAUUUUUUGAAGUUGGUUAUUUAUACAGGAAACUGUACUAAUAUAAAUACAACUUAUAGCGAUGGAUCUCUAGGCUCUG
rnacentral:misc_RNA from 1 species